ACACCACCCUGGACCUUCAUCCCAACAACUUCAUCCUCCCUCCCUGAUAGUCAGAAAUACUCAGGAUCAGAUUUGCACCUGCCCCCCUGCUUUAGGGGUGGUACAGGCAUUUUGGGUGGUGUUUGGAUCCCAGUGCCUCUGGUAUCUCUGCUGGACCCUUUAACCAUCAGAGCCAAGAAUCCCUUGCAGCUGUGUCCAGGUGAGGGCUCUUCCCCUUAAAAGCUCCUGGCUCCAGCUGAGGCAGAGCUGCUCCAGGAUUUCUUGUGUGGAUUUGCCCUUGCUUUCCUCUUGGUGCUCCCUGUGAGACAGUGCUUGGCCACAGCUGGGGAUAAGCAAACAAGGAACCCAACAGACAUAUUUGGAUGUGUGAAAGACCUCUGCCUGUGCUCUAGAAAUACUUAGACCCCAAUUCUUCUGAGACAUCUUGGGUCAAGAGGAUUCAACCCAAAAAGCAUCAGGCUGUGAUGGUGAUCAGGAGUGAGUGCUGGAUGCUAGUGCGAAGUCACACUUCCAGGAAGCCUCCAAGUAAUCAGAGGUGCAGAGCUGAAAUGAGACUGUGAUUUUUUUUGUGACUGCAAGACCUAAGGACUGAAAAGGGGGCGAGAUGGGCAGCCUGCGAUCUCGAAGCACGUCUUGAAGUGCUCGUCACAACGGAGUUUAAAACGGCUUUUGGAGGUGAUGCAGGUGUCGGAGGGUUUGUCCGUGGUGAAUCCAUCUGUGUCAGCCUGGGGCUGAGGGAAGCCACGUGCAGGGCUGACAGGGAUGUUGAGGGAGCGUCGCAGGAACCGACAGAUGGGCUCCAAUAUACCCAGGAAGGAAUAUUGAACUGCAGUCCUCUAAGGACAAAGAGGAAGGAGAAGAAAUAUGGUCCCAGACUCAUGCAUGGCCAGGCUGGUUGAUGGAUCCUCAUGGUCCUCCUUGGAAUGUACCUUCUGCUUAAAUGAGGACUUUGGGAAUAAAGAAACCCCAGGUGAUAAG